rnacentral:rRNA from 1 species
CCUACGGGUGGCAGCAGUGGGGAAUAUUGGUCAAUGGGGGAAACCCUUAACCAGCGACGCCGCGUGAGGGAUGAAGGUUUUCGGAUUGUAAACCUCUUUUUGUGGGGACGAUAAUGACGGUACCUACGGAGUAAGCCACGGCUAACUACGUGCCAGCAGCCGCGGUAAUACGGAGGGCGCAAGCGUUAUUCGGAAUUACUGGGUGUAAAGGGAGCGUAGGCGGGAUGUCAAGUCAGAAGUGAAAAGUAUGGGCUCAACGCAGAACCUGCUUUUGAAACUGGUAUUCUAGAGUUGAGGAGAGGCAUGCGGAAUUCGUGGUGUAGCGGUGAAAUGCGUAGAUAUUAGGAGGAACACCGAUUGCGAAGGCGGCAUGCUGGGUCUUUACUGACGCUGAGGCACGAAAGCGUGGGGAGCGAACAGGAUUAGAUACCCUAGUAGUC